UCAACUAGAUUAAUCUCCCUAUCUGUUCCAUUAAUUAAUUGAGCAGCCGAAUUCGUGUUAUUGUGCCGAUUGUUGCAAUCCACAGCUAUUCGGCAAAAAAUUCAACAUUAAUUUCCAAGUGAUUUUGUUUUUGAGCGUUUCAUUGCUAUUUUUGCAACAAUCCAGCGCUUCUCCUGUUGGCUCUAAACUUGACCACCGAUCAGAAAAUCACAGUCUUCAGGCUUUAUAGUUGCCAGCAUUAUUAACGUACCUUGCAAGACUGGCUAUGUGAUGGUUAACGGAAAUUGUGUAAAAGAAGUUAAUGGAAAAUGAGUCAAAGCGUUAAUUUAACCCGAUGGCUACACGCUUGAGGUCUCCAACUUUAACCAGAUAUUAAUUUUUUUAUCAUUACUUUUAUAUGGUUUAUCAUAUACAUGUAUUGUAAUUUA
rnacentral:lncRNA from 1 species